UGCAAGUCGAGGGGUAUAGUAGCAAUACUAGAGACCGGCGCACGGGUGCGUAACGCGUAUGCAAUCUACCUUAUACAGAGGGAUAGCCCAGAGAAAUUUGGAUUAAUACCUCAUAGCAUAGCAACUUCGCAUGAAGUCACUAUUAAAGUUCCAACGGUAUAAGAUGAGCAUGCGUCCUAUUAGCUAGAUGGUAAGGUAACGGCUUACCAUGGCUACGAUAGGUAGGGGUCCUGAGAGGGAGAUCCCCCACACUGGUACUGAGACACGGACCAGACUCCUACGGGAGGCAGCAGUGAGGAAUAUUGGACAAUGGGCGCAAGCCUGAUCCAGCCAUGCCGCGUGCAGGAAGACGCAUCUAUGGUGUGUAAACUGCUUUUGUACGGGAAGAAACACUCCCUCGUGAGGGAGCUUGACGGUACCGUAAGAAUAAGGAUCGGCUAACUCCGUGCCAGCAGCCGCGGUAAUACGGAGGAUCCAAGCGUUAUCCGGAAUCAUUGGGUUUAAGGGGUCCGUAGGCGGUUUGGUAAGUCAGUGGUGAAAGCCCAUCGCUUAACGAUGGAACGGCCAUUGAUACUGCCAGACUUGAAUUACUGGGAAGUAACUAGAAUAUGUAGUGUAGCGGUGAAAUGCU
rnacentral:rRNA from 1 species